rnacentral:rRNA from 1 species
GAACGCUAGCGGCAGGCCUAAUACAUGCAAGUCGAACGGGAUCCAAUUUUUAGCUUGCUAAAGAUUGGUGAGAGUGGCGCACGGGUGCGUAACGCGUGAGCAACCUACCCAUAUCAGGGGGAUAGCCCGAAGAAAUUCGGAUUAACACCGCAUAAGACUACGAGAUGGCAUCAUCAAGUAGUUAAAUAUUUAUAGGAUAUGGAUGGGCUCGCGUGACAUUAGCUAGUUGGUGAGGUAACGGCUCACCAAGGCGACGAUGUCUAGGGGCUCUGAGAGGAGAAUCCCCCACACUGGUACUGAGACACGGACCAGACUCCUACGGGAGGCAGCAGUAAGGAAUAUUGGUCAAUGGACGGAAGUCUGAACCAGCCAUGCCGCGUGCAGGAUGACUGCCCUAUGGGUUGUAAACUGCUUUUGUCGAGGAAUAAACCUAUCUACGUGUAGAUAGCUGAAUGUACUCGAAGAAUAAGGAUCGGCUAACUCCGUGCCAGCAGCCGCGGUAAUACGGAGGAUCCGAGCGUUAUCCGGAUUUAUUGGGUUUAAAGGGUGCGUAGGCGGCACUUUAAGUCAGGGGUGAAAGACGGCAGCUUAACUGUCGCAGUGCCUUUGAUACUGAAGUGCUUGAAUGCGGUUGAAGACGGCGGAAUGAGACAAGUAGCGGUGAAAUGCAUAGAUAUGUCUCAGAACACCGAUUGCGAAGGCAGCUGUCUAAGCCGUUAUUGACGCUGAUGCACGAAAGCGUGGGGAUCGAACAGGAUUAGAUACCCUGGUAGUCCACGCCCUAAACGAUGAUAACUCGAUGUUUGCGAUAUACCGUAAGCGUCCAAGCGAAAGCGUUAAGUUAUCCACCUGGGGAGUACGCCCGCAAGGGG